rnacentral:tRNA from 1 species
UGUUAUGUGGCUCAAUUGGUUACAGCGCCGGUCUAGCAAAUACGGAGUAGUGGGUUCGAAUCCCACCAAAACGC